AAGCGGUGGAGCAUGUGGUUUUAAUUCGAUGAUACGCGAGGAACCUUACCUGGGCUCAAAUGAUGUUUGACGUAUUCUGAAAGGGAUACUUCUUCGGACAAUAUACAAGGUGCUGCAUGGUUGUCGUCAGCUCGUGCCGUGAGGUGUCGGGUUAAGUCCCAUAACGAGCGCAACCCUUGUCCUUAGUUACCAGCACGUUAUGGUGGGCACUCUAAGGAGACUGCCGGUGACAAACCGGAGGAAGGUGGGGAUGACGUCAAGUCAUCAUGGCCCUUACGGCCUGGGCUACACACGUGCUACAAUGGUCGGUACAAAGGGUUGCCAAGCCGCGAGGUGGAGCUAAUCCCAUAAAACCGAUCGUAGUCCGGAUCGCAGUCUGCAACUCGACUGCGUGAAGUCGGAAUCGCUAGUAAUCGUGAAUCAGAAUGUCACGGUGAAUACGUUCCCGGGCCUU
rnacentral:rRNA from 1 species